rnacentral:rRNA from 1 species
CCUACGGGAGGCAGCAGUGGGGAAUAUUGCACAAUGGGGGAAACCCUGAUGCAGCGACGCCGCGUGAGUGAAGAAGUAUUUCGGUAUGUAAAGCUCUAUCAGCAGGGAAGAAACUCACCCUCCGGGGUGGCUGACGGUAUCUGACUAACAAGCCCCGGCUAACUACGUGCCAGCAGCCGCGGUAAUAAGUAGGGGGCAAGCGUUAUCCGGAUUUACUGGGUGUAAAGGGAGCGUAGGUGGCAAGGCAAGUCAGAUGUGAAAACCCGGGGCCCAACCCCGGGAGUGCAUUUGAAACUGUCAGGCUAGAGUGCAGGAGAGGUAAGUGGAAUUCCUAGUGUAGCGGUGAAAUGCAUAGAUAUUAGGAGGAACACCAGUGGCGAAGGCGGCUUACUGGACUGUAACUGACACUGAGGCUCGAAAGCGUGGGGAGCAAACAGGAUUAGAUACCCGAGUAGUC